rnacentral:tRNA from 1 species
GCCGGGGUGCUGAAAUUGGUAGACAGGCACGCUUUAGGAGCGUGUGUCUUGAUAAGACGUGGAGGUUCGAGUCCUCUCCUCGGCA